rnacentral:rRNA from 1 species
CUUAUACAUGCAGUCGAACGAAGUAGCAAUACUUAGUGGCAGACGGGUGAGUAACAUGUAGGUAUCUGCCCUUUGGCCUGGAAUAACACGAGGAAACUUGUGCUAAUACCGGAUAAGUCUUUACGGAGAAAGCUUUAUGCACCAUUGGAGGAGCCCGCACUUGAUUAGUUUGUUGGUAGGGUAAUGGCCUACCAAGACUAUGAUCAAUAGCUGAUUUGAGAGGAUGAUCAGCCACAUUGGGACUGAGACACGGCCCAAACUCCUACGGGAGGCAGCAGUGGGGAAUCUUGCACAAUGGAGGAAACUCUGAUGCAGCGAUGCCGCGUGAGUGAAGAAGGCCUUUGGGUUGUAAAGCUCUUUCGUCGGGGAAGAAAAUGACUGUACCCGAAUAAGAAGGUCCGGCUAACUUCGUGCCAGCAGCCGCGGUAAUACGAAGGGACCUAGCGUAGUUCGGAAUUACUGGGCUUAAAGAGUUCGUAGGUGGUUGAAAAAGUUGGUGGUGAAAUCCCAGAGCUUAACUCUGGAACUGCCAUCAAAACUUUUCAGCUAGAGUAUGAUAGAGGAAAGCAGAAUUUCUAGUGUAGAGGUGAAAUUCGUAGAUAUUAGAAAGAAUACCAAUUGCGAAGGCAGCUUUCUGGAUCAUUACUGACACUGAGGAACGAAAGCAUGGGUAGCGAAGAGGAUUAGAUACCCUCGUAGUCCAUGCCGUAAACGAUGUGUGUUAGACGUUGGAAAUUUAUUUUCAGUGUCGCAGGGAAACCGAUAAACACACCGCCUGGGGAGUACGACCGCAAGGUUAAAACUCAAAUGAAUUGACGGGGACCCGCACAAGUAGUGGAGCAUGUGGUUUAAUUCGAAGAUACGCGCAGAACCUUACCAACACUUGACAUGUUCGUCGCGACUCUAGAGAUUAGAGUUUUCGGUUCGGCCGGACGAAACACAGGUGCUGCAUGGCUGUCGUCAGCUCGUGUCGUGAGAUGUUGGGUUAAGUCCCGCAACGAGCGCACCCCU